rnacentral:tRNA from 1 species
AGAGUUAUAGGUUAUUAAACCUCUACCGUUCAAAGGUAGCAAUGAAAUGAGUUUCUAACUCUA